UACGUAGGGUGCAAGCGUUAAUCGGAAUUACUGGGCGUAAAGCGUGCGCAGGCGGUUUUGUAAGUCUGUCGUGAAAGCCCCGGGCUCAACCUGGGAAUUGCGAUGGAGACUGCAAGGCUUGAAUCUGGCAGAGGGGGGUAGAAUUCCACGUGUAGCAGUGAAAUGCGUAGAGAUGUGGAGGAACACCGAUGGCGAGGCAGCCCCCUGGGUCAAGAUUGACGCUCAUGCACGAAAGCGUGGGGAGCAAACAGG
rnacentral:rRNA from 1 species